CUCAUGUGCUUCACCAGGUCCGAGGGUUGCCCGAAGCUCUGCCAACAUUCCCCGCAAGUGUUGGGGACCCCCAGCGGGGCCGCCGAGGGGGUCGACGACUCCGCCCGGGACCUCGGCGACCCCACCGUUGACCUUGGCGACCCCAGCGUUGACCUCCUCGACUCUAGCGUUGACUUUGGUGACCCCAGCGUUGACUUUGGUGACCCCAGCGUUGACUUCGUUGGCCCCAUCGUUGACUUCGGUGACUCGAUCGUUGACUUUGGUGACCCCAGCGUUGACUUUGGUGACCCCAUCGUUGACUUCGUUGACCCCAGCGUUGACUUCGUUGACCCCAGCGUUGACCUUGACUCCACCGUUGACCUCGUCGACCCCAGCGUUGACUCUAUCGCUGACCUUGACCCCAGCGUUGACUCUAUCGUUGACCUUGACCCCAGCGUUGACCUCGGGGACUCUAUCGUUGACCUUGAGUCCGCCGUUGACCUUGUCGACCCCAUCGUUGACUCUAUCGUUGACUUCGUUGACCCCAUCGUUGACCUUGACUCUGCCGUUGACCUCGUUGACCCCAUCGUUGACCUCGUUGACCCCAUCGACUCCAUCGUUGACCCUAUCGUUGACCUUGACUCCGCCGUUGACCUCGUCGACCCCAUCGUUGACCUCGUUGACCCCAUCGUUGACCUUGACUCCGCCGUCGCCACCGCCCUCGUCGAUGACCCCGGUGACUCCCCCGGUGACUCCUUCGGUGACGCCCUCGAAGAUGCCACCACCGACCCCGUUGACGCCCCCGGUGACUCUUCCGUUGUCGCCGCCGCCCUCGAAGACGCCACCAACCCCGUUGAAGUCAACGAUGACCUCGAAGAUGCCCCCAACCCAGUCGACGUCGAGGAUGACGCUCCCGUUGACGUCGUUGACACUCUUGAAGAUGCCACCAACCCCGUUGACGUCGACGAUGACCUCGAAGAUGCCCCCAACCCCAUCGACGUCAACGAUGAUGCUCCCGUUGACGCUCUUGAAGAUGCCACCAACCCCGUUGACGCCGACGAUGACCUCGAAGAUGCCCCCAACCCCAUCGACGUCAACGAUGAUGCUCCCGUUGACGCUCUUGAAGAUGCCACCAACCCCGUUGACGUCGACGAUGACCUCGAAGAUGCCCCCAA
rnacentral:lncRNA from 1 species